rnacentral:tRNA from 1 species
UACUGUUUAGAUAAGCGGUCAGCGCACUCGACUCCCAUUCCAGAGGUCCAGGUUCGAUUCCCGCAGAAA